UGUGAUUCUUCCCUGAAGGAUCUCACCAGCUCCCUGUUAAGCAUCAUUUCGUCAUCUAUCUGCCUCUCUCCUCCCUUCCUUCUUCUUGUCCUUCCUUUCUGUUAACAAAUAUUGAGCAUUUACUGUGUGCUAUGUACAUUUUGAGGUUCUGGGGAUACAGUGGUGAACACCAAAGAAAUCCUUUCCACGAUGGAGUUGAACAGACAGCAGGAAUGCCAGGCAAUAACACAGGAUAUAGAUAACUGAAAUACACAGUAAGCUAAAUGAUGACAAGUGCUAGGGAGAAAAAUAAAGCAGGCAAGGGAGACUGGAGAGGGGUGGGGUGGUUAGGGAGUGACCCUUGAGUCAAGACCUGCAGGUGGUGAGGGAGAGAGCCAUGCCAACAUCUGGGAGAAGAGCAUUUCCAACAGAAGCAGCUGCAUGUGCAAAGGCCCUGAGGUAAGAGAAUGUCAGAGAAUUCCAGGCGGCCAAUAAGGCCAGAGCAGAGGGAGUACGGGGGCAGACAUGCUGAGGACUUUGACUCUGAGUGAGAUGGGAGUCCUUGGCAGGUAAGAGCAGGGAACUGAUGUGGUCUGACUUCGAUUUAACAGGGUCCCCCUGAUUAUUGAGAAUAGGUAAGAGUGGGUUUGUACCAAGGUGAACUGGUUAAUUCCUAGGAACCAGCCACACCCAGAGGUCUGUGGGCCACGAAGGGCCUGGGAAGGUCAUGCAGCCUGAGUUGCUAAAGAUGUGAUGAUGGGUUCUGCAGGCACCAGCUCCUCCUGUGGCUGGGUCAGCCCCUGCCCUGUUGUCUCCUGGGAACCCCUCUUCUCCCCACCCCCACACACAGCAGGUCUCAGAUUGGAGGCCCUUUUGCUCACCCUUCCUCAGGAGCGACUGCCUUUUGCUCACCCUUCCUCAGGAGCGACUGCUGUGGUUUAUAGACCUGAUGGAGGUACCACCCUUCCUGCCGGUGGGGACUGUGGGAGUCCCUUAGCCAUGCACACCCAUGUUGGCUGCAUGUGUGGCCACAGGACAAACCUCCUCCACGUGGAAGCCCUCCUGCAGAGUACGCAGGGCACUGGGACCCAUCCUAGGAGUCUGGACCCCCACACCGGUACUCCACUCUGUCUCUCCCAGGCAGUGUGCUCUCAAGAAAGCCCCUCACUCACUCUUGGCCUCAGUCUCCCCAUCUGUACAACCACGGAAGACCCCCAUGGCUCCUCCAGUUCUGAGAGUCUUCUCUGCAUCAGGAGGUGCUGGAAAAUAUUUGGGGGAGGCACAGCAAGGAAUGACAACUCUAUAUUCCCACCUCUUCUGUGUAUAUUUGAACAAGGACUGCAGCAUUCCUCCAGAGAGAGAAAGAGCUUGAAAUAAUCACCUUUAUUCACCACUAAGUGCCGCUGUGUGGUCUACAACACCACAUAUUACGAGAGCUGGUGCAAAAUGGAGGCCCAGAAAGUGUGGAACAGAAACUGGAAGGAAAGCACACACUCCCCGGCCACUUGCAGGAUUAUCUUCUACUAUGCGGCCUUCUAAACAUUCGCCUCC
rnacentral:lncRNA from 1 species